rnacentral:rRNA from 1 species
GACGUAGGGCGCGAGCGUUGUCCGGAUUUAUUGGGCGUAAAGAGCUCGUAGGCGGCUUGUCGCGUCGACUGUGAAAACCCGCGGCUCAACCGCGGGCCUGCAGCCGAUACGGGCAGGCUAGAGUUCGGUAGGGGAGACUGGAAUUCUUGGUGUAGCGGGUGAAAUGCGCAGAUAUCAGGAGGAAUACCGGUGGCGAAGGCGGCAUCCUGGACCGGCAUUGACGCUGAUGAGCGAAGC